rnacentral:rRNA from 1 species
UACGUAGGGUGCAAGCGUUUGUCCGGAAUUAUUGGGCGUAAAGAGCUCGUAGGCGGUCCGUCACGUCGGCUGUGAAAACCCGGGGCUCAACCCCCGGGCCUGCAGUCGAUACGGGCGGACUAGAGUUCGGCAGGGGAGACUGGAAUUCCUGGUGUAGCGGUGAAAUGCGCAGAUAUCAGGAGGAACACCGGUGGCGAAGGCGGGUCUCUGGGCCGAUACUGACGCUGAGGAGCGAAAGCGUGGGGAGCGAACAGG